UACGUAGGGGGCUAGCGUUGUCCGGAAUCAUUGGGCGUAAAGAGCGCGUAGGCGGCCAGAUAAGUCCGGUGUGAAAGUCACAGGCUCAACCUGUGAAUGCCGCUGGAAACUGUCUGGCUAGAGUCCGGAAGGGGCGAGUGGAAUUCCUGGUGUAGCGGUGAAAUGCGCAGAUAUCAGGAGGAACACCGGUGGCGAAGGCGGUUCUCUGGGCAUGAUCUGACGCUGAGGCGCGAAAGCUAGGGGAGCAAACGGG
rnacentral:rRNA from 1 species